rnacentral:rRNA from 1 species
AGUGAACGCUGGCGGCAGGCCUAACACAUGCAAGUCGAACGGAAGCACAGUAAGAGCUUGCUUCUACGGGUGGCGAGUGGCGGACGGGUGAGGAAUACAUCGCCAUCUACUUUUUCGCGGGGGAUUACGUAGGGAAAAUUAUGCUAAUACCGCAUAUGAUUUACGGGUGGAAGCAGGGGAUCUUCGGACCUUGUGCGAUUGAAUGAGCCGAUGUCGGAUUAGCUAGUUGGUGGGGUAAAGGCCCACCAAGGCGACGAUCCGUAGCAGAUCUGAGAGGGUGAUCAGCCACACUGUAACUGAGACACGGUCCAGACUCCUACGGGAGGCAGCAGUAGGGAAUAUUGGACAAUGGGCGCAAGCCUGAUCCAGCCACACCGCGUGAGUGAAGAAGGCCUUCGGAUUUUAAAACCCUUUUAUUAGGAAAGAAAAGCUGCAGGAUAAUACCCCUCUGUUCUGACGGUACCCAAAUAAUAAGCACCGGCUAACUUCGUG